rnacentral:lncRNA from 12 species
AUUUAGACCUGAUAAAAUAAGUCUUGGAGUAGCCAAAGAAUUUCUCAAUUAGGCACUGAGGACCUUCAUUUAGUCAUUCAUUGGAGAAAGGCUCCUUGACAAUCUGCCACUUAGGUCCUACGACUGCCAUUCUGGAAAAGGCUUAGGCCUGACCACAUGGAACCAGGAUGGAGAGAGGGUGUCAGGAGACAUGUCGUAUAAUAUUAAGUGUUUCUACAAGAGCUGCAUGUUUUGGGAAGAGACUCUGACAUGAGGGGAGCCCUGGUGGGGAGGCAGGGAGGGAGUGACUCAUCUCCUUCCUCCUUAAUGCUCUGUUUUGCUUGGACAUAACUCUAGGUCUACAGGUGCCAAGGGAAGGGGAAAGAAUUUCUCAGCUUCAGAAAGCCCCGCAGGCGAUCUAGGGUAAGGACAAGACUUCAUGUCCAGGCACCUCGUUCUGCAAAAGGAGGAGAAAACUUUCCUCUAGGAAAAAUUCCAAAGACUAUGCUAUUGGGGCAAAGACUUCCAAACCCAAUGUGACUUGUUGCCUAGAAACCCAGGAGGCACCCAAUGAAAAGAGGUGUGGCAUGCUAAAGGCAACGUUCAUCCGUCUAAUUUCAAUUCCCACUCUUUAUUUUGAAGCGCUAGCCCCAAACAUGAAUGAUACAGGUCACUGAUAUUUGCCGUGGGUGCUGACUCUCUCACUCACCAUUGCAGUGUACUUCCAACAGUUAGCACCUGCAUGUCUUCGCUGGAGGUGUCCUGUGCAGCCAGUGUGCACAAGCUCGGAGUGCCAGAGAAUUUAACACCCUCCCUCCUGUAGCCCUCAGCCAAGGACUGGCUGGAGUCAGUAGACAAAUACUCCAGGUUCUUCACCUUCAGGUGUGGUAACUCUGAGGUGCAUGUUCUGCACUGUCUCUCUGACUUGUGCAGGGGGUCCCAGGUGCCCACAGAGGUCAUUUGCUGGAUGUUAUGGUCCUUACUGGCUGUCUGGCCCUUCCUUCUCACCUCCUACCUCCCUGCAGGUGUUUCCUGGGUUCCCCUCCCAGAUAAACUGCCCUCGGUGGAAUCCUGGGCUCAGACUCUGCCUAGAGGAACCUACAUGGAGCUAGCAGGCCACACAUGUAGUUUAGAGGAAGAAUCUUAUCAUUCACAUUUACAGUCUGGCUCACCUCCUCCUCUGAGGAGGGCACAGGCAGCCGGGGUGGGGACACCCAAACUCUCUCCGCCUCCACUUCCUGAUGCUGCUGCAGCCCUUGAGAUCUGUCUCAUGCCGCUCUCUCUGCUCCCUGACUCUGGAGAUGGAGGAAGGUUGAUUAAGGAGUCCUGCAGGGAGGACCAUGAUGGUUACACCUGCUUAAGUCAAAGCUGAUAAUCUUCUCAGCCUUGCAUUGAAGUGGGAGUGAACACUUUUGGGUCUUUUUGAAUCCAAAUACUAUAGGUAAGUCUUUGCAGAUGUUUCUUAUAAACGUAUUCAAACUGUGCUUUUAAAAAAAUACACUAU